rnacentral:lncRNA from 1 species
GGGAAACAAGAGUCCGAUUGCUCAUUGAGGUCAAACUCUCAAACCCAAGGGAAUGGUUUACUCUGCUUUUCCACUAGGAUUUGCACCAAUUAGUCAACAUUUUAUUCUUAUUCUUAUUGGAAGCAAAUGUCUUAUAUUCAAAGCUCUGUGCUCAAAACUGAUUUAUUUGGAGGUUGUUUCCUUAAGGUUGCAUUGGCUAAUAAUGGCUAUCAUAUUAACAUAAAGCUACUAUUAAAUUCACUUCACUUUGAAAUUGCAAGGACUUGCAUAAUUUUGUCAUAUCCCCAGUCCCCACUGUCAGUACCCGCGGUAAAGGAACUAUAGGGAAAUUGGUCUACAGCUUUGCAAAAAUUAGGUGCCAUUAGAUCUAAACGUAUUUUGUUUUGUUUUUCCAUUGCAUAAGUGUGUUUAAGACAUGAUUGCCAUUUCCUUGUACCUGUACUGUUUCAGGAAAAAAGCACAUGUUUCAUCUACUGCAUCAAUGCUGCUUUUUUUCUGCAUCAAAACCAGGUUAUUGAAAGAGAAUAUUUAAAUGUUUAUGUAUCCAAUUUUUACUAUAUAAGGACUUACAGAAUUGACUAAAUUAAAGGUACCCUUUUGCCCCUUCAUGUACAUAGUUCUCUGUUUAUUCUGUGCAACCAUUUAAACGGAGUGCAACAGCUUUAUCGACUACUUCCUCUUUGAAAUAUAAGCAGAUUAGAAGACUGACAUGGUCUCCAAUAUGACAAUUUGACUGGUAAUAUCUCCAAAAAUAUUUAUAUUACAUAGGAGCUACAUAUUAUGAACACACUUUUCAGAAUGAAUCUAGUGCUACCAAAAUACCAAGCUUGUGUUGUCAUUUGUCAAUCUAUAUAAAAUGUUAGAUAUGGAUCGUUAAAAGUAAAAAAGUUUGACAUAGGAUGAUCCUAGAUGGACUUACAUUCGUGAUUGGAGGAAGUAUUUCAUAUUCGUUUGCUGUGUUUAAAAGAUCAAACUUCCAAAAUGCCAAGUGUACAAACUGUACAUGAUCAACUAAAUGCAUACCUUAUUAAGUUGUCAAAUCCAUAACUGAGCAUGAAUCAUACCUGCAGAUGCAGCUUGGACAUCAUCAUUCAUGGAGUCUCUGAUGUGGAGGAUAAGCCGCGUCGUGUAGUUAGGAUGGACAGCAUAGAAAUCUUCGACAGCAAUUGAAAUGCUUGUACGUGACACCUUUCCCACCAUCGUUCCCAAAUCAAGUACCACCCCUAUAUGGAAUUCUUCUACUUCACUUUCUGUUAUGGUUUGGGCAGCUGCAGAGCUGGACGCCAAGAAUAGGAGCAUUGUGAUCCAAGCUUGUGUCACCAUCUCUUCAGUUGUGAGAGGUUUGCAGAAGAAUCUUUCUUUACUGGUGCACUAGUUAUAGAUGCAUAUGUUGUCGAUCUCUCAUAGUCUCGUGUUAGUUGAAUUGAACUCUAAUCAAGUCUCUCUUCCUUUGAAGUUCCCGUCAUGAAUUUGUUUGUUUUGAGAUCUUGAUCCAAUUUUGUCGCUUUGUUUGCAGUUCCCAUCGAUGAUUUGUUCGUUUUGAGAUUUUCGUCCAAGCUGGUGGUUCCAACUACCUCUCUUGGCCCUCUUGGCGUCUUGGGUCACAAUCCAAUGGAUUUGUUUCUCGUUAGUUGAAGCGGCUGAAGAUCUGUAAAUGGCACGCCAGUCUUCUGUGGGUUUGCAAAUGCAAGUGAAAGUUCCAUGUGAGUUUCAGUAGGAGACCUGGCCUUUUCAGUGCGAACGCCGCAGUGUUUGAAGUCUGAGUGUCACGCGUCUGAAAAGGAUGCAUAUUUGUCUGUACAUGUGUGUAUUUGACUUUGGAAUGCAGUUUAGGUCUAAUGUAAGCUACAUUUGGCGG